GCCGGGGUGGCAGAGCGGUUAUUGCGCUGGUCUUGAACAACCCGUCAAGAGGUUCAAGUCAACCAGUGGCCGAAAGGCCUCCUGAGUUCGAAUCUCAGCCCCGGCG
rnacentral:tRNA from 1 species